UCCUUGUUAGCUCAGUUGGUAGAGCGUUCGGCUUUUAACCGAAAUGUCAGGGGUUCGAGCCCCCUAUGAGGAGCCA
rnacentral:tRNA from 2 species